rnacentral:snoRNA from 1 species
CUAUGGGGAUGAUUUUAAGAAUUGAACUCUUUCUGAUGGAUUAGUAGAGAAAACACAAAUUCUGAGUAGC